rnacentral:tRNA from 1 species
UUUAAUAGCUUAUUUAGAGUAUAAUAUUGAAGAUAUUAAGGAAGUAUAUUUAUUUUAAAAUAU